UGGUGAAAGCUUGCUUGUGGGGCUUCUAUGGAGGCUGGAUCUUUAAGCUUCAAUGGGUUCCUUUAAUGGUGAUUUUCCACCAUGGAGAUGCAGCGGAAGACAAAGGAAAAGAGGUGAGAGGAGGCGCCAUCUAUUAAGGAAUAAGCCAUGGAAGAAGGAGCUUCAGCACCAAGAUGAGCCUUGGAUAAGAAGCUUGGAGAUGAUGUUUCAAUGGAGGAAAAGAAAGAGAGAAGGGGGGAGCACGAAAUUGAAGGAAUAAAAGAGGGAUAGAAGUAGAACUUUGAAGUGUGUCUCAUA
rnacentral:lncRNA from 1 species